CCUGGUUGCCACCGGCAGUAGGACGAAACUUGUGUAGCGGGUGGGACAUUAGGACCCAGCAGCAUCAGGGGGUAACCACCAGAACAUAAGGAAGUAGUCACGUUAUGUGCAGACCUACAGGAAAACGUACGUUUCUGAGAUUUGUCGCACCCGCAAGCUGUUAAUCAACCUAUAGUACAGACCACAGUAAGGCUUCUGUCUGGCGGUCAUGACACCUUUAUGACAGUGAAGCACUCAGAGACCAGUGAUGCUGAAGGAUGACCACCUCCCUUACUGCCGACACCACUUCCUACCACUCAGACCUUCUCUUGUGUUUGGACAAAGGGUCACUCGUCUCUGGAUUGGAGUAGGCCGUCUCAAUAGGCUUUUUGGUGUACCCUCACAGCGUCGACCUUCUCACCUCCGGCGAUCCAUCAAACUUUCCUUACCGGCCCCGGAUCUUCUGCCUGCUUCCAACUCUGCCAGCUGAAAUAAAAACGUUUUGCUCUUUGACCCAGCCUGAAGCGUAGGUUGGUAAUGUUUUCUAUCAUGUGGAAUAUGUCAAAAUGUCAAAAGUGUACCUUUCCUGUUGCAUUUCAUGAGAUGUAUUUCUGUGUUGGAAUUAUAGGCAGUA